rnacentral:lncRNA from 1 species
UACCUUUGUAAAAAUCAAGCCCAAGUGCUACAAAAGAUAGAGGGGGAAAAACAGAUAAAGAAAAUGUUAAAUAUAAGAAACCCUAAGAAAAAAACAGCAAAUUUUAAUAGCUCCUCUUCCAGUUUUCUUAUGUCUGAACAUUUGUAAUAAAAAGCAUGCUAAAGAGUAGCGGAAUGUAUUGAAGAUACAGACUGAGGCAGGAGGGGAUGUCACAUCUGAUUAAAAGUGGGUGUGCCCUUCUGUUCUGUCCUGUAUGCUCCAGAGCAGAGCAGGAUCCGUCCCCUUGUACAUGCUGUGUCUAUAUGUCUGGCUGGUCUGGGGCCUCUUACAUGACAUAAGUCUAGUAGCUGUGUGUUUGGGUUUUAUUGUUGUGAGAGGCACCAUGAUUAAAGCAACAUUUAAUUGGGGCUGACUUACAGUUUAUCAUGGUAGGAAGCAUGAUAGCAUGCAGGCAGACAUGGUGCUUGAGAGAGCCGAGAGUUCUACAUCUUGAUCUGAAGGCAGCAGAAAGAGGGCUAUGUAUCACACUGGACGUAGUUUGAGCAUAUAUAAGACCUCAAAGCCAACUUCCCCAAUAACACACUUCCUCCAACAAGGCUAACCUGUGUAUAGUGCCACUCCCUCUGGGCCAAAUGUUCAAAGACAUGAGGCUGUUGGAACCAAACCUAUUCAAAUCUCCACAGUAGCCAACAUCACAACAACAAAACUCCUAUUUCUUCCUUCCUUCCUCCCUUUUGUUUCUUUUUUUCAUUCACUCGACAGAAUUUGAGUUCAAUAAAAGCCAUUGAAACUUGCUGGCUUUAGCUGAGAUGCCUUUGUCCCUGGCGUGGUGCUCACCUGUCACAUGUUCAGUGAUAGAGCCAGCGGUCUCCUUUGCAAAGCUGUAGAGAUAGAUCCAGUUACUUUAGGAAAUGAAUUGUUUUAUUUUAAUUUCACUUCUCAGGAGUUUUCCACUUUUUUUUUUCUUUUUAACUAUUUAAAGAUGUAAAAUUGAAGCCGGGCGUGGUGGCGCACUCCUUUAAUCCCAGCACUUGGGAGGCAGAGGCAGGUGGAUCUCUGAGUUUGAGGCCAGCCUGGUCUACAAAGUGAGUUCCAGGACAGCCAGGGCUUUAAAGAGAAACCCUGUCUCAAAAAACAACAACAAAAGAAUGUAAAAUUGGCCGGGCAGUCUUGAUGCACGCUUCUGGGUCACUCUAGACUUGCAUUGCUCCUUCUGGGUCACUCUAGGCUUGCAGUGCUCCUUCUGGGUCACUCUAGGCUUGCAGUGCUCCUUCUGAGUCACUCUAGGCUUGCAGUGCUCCUUCUGGGUCACUCUAGACUUGCAGUGCUCCUUCUGAGUCACUCUAGGCUUGCAGUGCUCCUUCUGGGUCACUCUAGGCUUGCAGUGCUCCUUCUGGGUCACUCUAGACUUCCAGUGCUCCUUCUGGGUCACUCUAGACUUGCAGUGCUCUUUCUGGGCAUGAGAAGUCAUUAGCCACUGCCCUGUCCCAGGUAUCUGAGUAGAAUCUUUACUGACUGUAAAUCAUACUGACUGUUUUAAUCCUUUUGUUAUAUUAGCUUAGAGGUUGUACAAAGGGCUGGAGAGCUGGCUCAGCAGUUAAGAGUACUGACUGCUUUUCUAGAGGUCCUGAGUUCAAUUCCCAGCAACCACAUGGUGGCUCACAACCAUCUGUAAUGAGAUCUGAUGCUCUCUCUUGGUGUGUCUGAAGACAGCUACAGUGUACUCAUAUACAUAAAAUAAAUACUUUUUAAAAAGAAUUUUUAAAAAAUGUUAUAAAAAUAGUAGUAGGUCUGGUACGAAACCUUCAUCUCCAUUUUUUUUCUUAAAUGAUUUAUUUUUGAGAUCGAAUGUAUCAUCUCACAUCCCUUUCCUUCCUCUAAGCCCUCCCAUAAGACAUUUUUCUACUCUCUUUUUUCAAAUUCAUGACCUUUUUUUCAUUAGUUAUUGUAACAUAAAGAUGCAUGUUAUAAAUUCCUAAGUACGUAAGUACACCCUGUCCUGUCUGUAUAUUGUCACUUGUAUGUAUGUUUUCAGGGCUGACCAUUUGGUAUUGGAUAGCCACAGAGAAGUGUAGUUCUAGCCUCUCAUUGAGGAAAAUUCUCCAGUUUCCUUUUAUUUGGCCUAAAUGACACAUUUCUCGGUGACCUGGUGACUGGAUGACAAGUGCUCACUGUGUUGCUCUGUGGUCUGGCCUCGUAAAUCUUGUUGAAACCCUGGCGUUUGCCAGCAUCUGAUGCCCAGUGUGUGGCUCUAAUCUCAUUCUCUGCAGUGGUAUCUCGGCAAGGAAAGUUUUGGGGUGUUUCUGUGGUUACCGUCCAUCAAACAGGAUGUGGCAGAACCCUAUUAGUCUUCAUUUAUUCCUUUGUCUUCUCCAGAGUUUGGGUCCUUUAGCUUAAACUUCUGAUGAGUGAGACGUGAUGGUUGAGGCUUCAGUGUGUUCUCUCCGUUCCUCUUUUUAUAGCUUUCCCACAGGGAAGGGCACUUCCUUUUUUCUCAAUGUAAACCAGUGCUGUUACUAUAGAUAAGUUCAAUUUUGAAGGGGACACAAAUAAAACAGUUCAUGGGCACAUGAAAGGGGAUCAAAUGAGUAUAAUGGAGAAAACUAGAGG